GUGCCAGCCGCCGCGGUAAUACCGGCAGCCCGAGUGAUGGCCGAUCUUAUUGGGCCUAAAGCGUCCGUAGCUGGCUGCGCAAGUCCGUCGGGAAAUCCACUCGCCCAACGAGUGGGCGUCCGACGGAAACUGCACAGCUUGGGACCGGAAGGCUCGAAGGGUACGUUCGGGGUAGGAGUGAAAUCCCGUAAUCCCGAACGGACCACCGAUGGCGCAAGCACCUCGAGAAGACGGCUUCGACAGUAAGGGACGAAAGCUCGGGUCUCAAGCCGGAUUAGAAACCCGAGUAGUCC
rnacentral:rRNA from 1 species